rnacentral:rRNA from 1 species
UAGCGUAGGGGGCAAGCGUUGUCCGGAAUUAUUGGGCGUAAAGAGCGUGUAGGCGGCCAGAUAAGUCCGCUGUGAAAUCUCGAGGCUCAACUUCGAGCUGUCGGUGGAAACUAUCUGGCUAGAGUCCGGAAGAGGAGAUGGAAUUCCUGGUGUAGCGGUGAAAUGCGCAGAUAUCAGGAAGAACACCCGUGGCGAAGGCGGUUCUCUGGGACGGUACUGACGCUGAGACGCGAAAGCGUGGGGAGCGAACAGG